rnacentral:rRNA from 1 species
AAACCAACAGGGAUUGCCUUAGUAGCGGCGAGUGAAGCGGCAAGAGCUCAAAUUUGAAAUCUGGUACUUUCAGUGCCCGAGUUGUAAUUUGAAGAUCACAAUCUUGAAAUUGGUCCUUGUCUAUGUUCCUUGGAACAGGACGUCACAGAGGGUGAGAAUCCCGUGCGAUGAGGAUACCUUUUUCAUUUAAGAUGUGUUCGACGAGUCGAGUUGUUUGGGAAUGCAGCUCAAAGUGGGUGGUAAAUUCCAUCUAAAGCUAAAUAUUGGCGAGAGACCGAUAGCGAACAAGUACAGUGAUGGAAAGAUGAAAAGAACUUUGAAAAGAGAGUGAAAAAGUACGUGAAAUUGUUGAAAGGGAAGGGUAUUUAAUCAGACUUGGUAUUUAGUUAUAUCUUCUCCUUGUGGGAAGGGCUCUAACUUUUUACUGGGCCAGCAUCAGUUUUGGUGGUAAGAUAAUCGCAGUUGAAUGUGGCUCUUUGGAGUGUUAUAGCUUCUGUUGAUAUUACCUACUGGGACUGAGGUCUGCGGCUUUUGCCUAGGAUGCUGGCGUAAUGAUUAAACACCGCC